rnacentral:tRNA from 1 species
UGGCACGUAGCUCAGCAGGCAGAGCACCCGGCUGUUAACCGGACGCGCGCAGGUUCGAUCCCUGCCGUGCCAGCCA